UUGACCCAGUUGAUGCGCCAGAGUCACAGGUGGCUGGGUUGUGCAGAGAUGUACUUCUGCUGGACUGCGGACUGUCCCGAGCCUCGGCGCCUGAAGGCGGGAGAUGGCGGUGAGCUCUUGCAGGCAGCCAGUGGGGAGCGCCACUCUCUGCUACUGUUCAGCAACCACCGAGUGUACUCCUGUGGGGACAACAGCUUUGGCCAGCUGGGCCAGAAGACAGAGCAGAAUAACGAACGGCCAGAACAAAUCCAGUCAUUGGCUACUCUGCACGUUGACCUCGUGAGCUGUGGGAAGGAGCACUCCAUAGCUGUCUGCCACAAAGGAAGGGUCUUUGCAUGGGGAGCAGGUUCGCAAGGGCAGCUGGGGAUUGGAGUAUGUAAGGAAAUAAACUUAAUGCCUAUGAAAAUAAAAUUUCCAGAUGGCAUAAAAAUAAUCCAAGUUUCCUGUGGACACUACCACUCCUUGGCAUUAUCGGAAGAUGGCCAAGUGUUUUCAUGGGGAAGUAACAGUCAUGGUCAGCUGGGCCUGGGGAAGAACUGCAGUUCCCAAGCCAGCCCCGAGAGGGUGAAGUCCCUAAAGGGAAUCCCACUGGCUCAGGUGGCUGCAGGUGGCAAUCACAGUUUUGCUCUGUCUCUCACGGGGACUUCAUUUGGCUGGGGAAGCAACAGUGUUGGGCAGCUGGCCCUCAGUGGGGAAAAAGCCAAAGCAGUGAAAAUCCACAAGCCUAAUUCAAUUGGUGCCCUGAAGAGUUUGGGUGUGGUUUAUAUCAGCUGUGGUUAUGAGCACACUGCAGUGCUUACUCAGGAUGGGAAAGUGUUUACAUUUGGAGACAAUAGCUCUGGGCAGCUUCAGCACAGUCCCCAAAGUGAGAGAAGAGGCCCACAACUCGUGGAAGGACUUGGUGGCCCUGUUUCGAUGAUAAAGUGUGGAAGCUAUCACACCCUUGCAUAUGUCUACACCACUCGUCAGGUGGUAUCUGUAGGCCGUGGACCAAGUCUCACAAGCAACCCAACCCACCAGGAGGCCCAAGCAGAGAACCCUGGUGUCACCUGCCUGCUCUCUGCAAAAGACCUCAUGAAUAUUCAAGUCAAAGACAUUUUUGCUGGAGCAUAUGCCAACUUUGCUACAACUCAUCGGAUAUCAGAUCCUAGGUCUACAAGUGUUUCCAUGAAAAUUCUGCCAGAAAUUAAUCGAAUCAACCAGUCACUGAUACAGAAGUGGAUAGCAGCAAGAAAAAAUAAAGAGCGUGAAGAAGCCGAAAGAGAAAUCAGCACUAUAUUUUCAUCUUCUGCUUGUUUGACUGCAAGCUUUUUGAAGAAAAGAGAUCCUGGAGAGAAGAAUUUAAUUGAUGUGGACUUAAAAAUGGCAAGGGAUGUCUUCAAAAAGUUAGCAGAAGUGCCAUGGAUUUCUUACUUGAUAAUCACAUGUCUUCAGAAUAAGAUUAUCAAAGAUCUUCCAUACAAUUCUCCACAUCAAGAUGCUUUAUUGGUUUUUCUUUUGGUCCCGGAAUGUCCCAUGAUGCAGGACCCUUGGAACAUUUGGGAGACCCCGACAGUUGAAUUUGCAAAGGCUAUUUGUGAAAUGAAUACAGAAUCACUUGAAUUCUUGAAAAAGUGCUGGAAAUCUUUGGACAUUUCUUCUCUGAGUGCACUGGUCCAGAUGCUAAAGAACACUAUCAUCAUUGCCAUCCCUCAGCUGAUGCAUCCAAGUUUCAUGAGGCAGGCCCAACAUAGUCUGAAAGUUCUUCUAAAAGUGAUGAAAUGUGUGCAUAAGGUUAACCGUCGACUGCCAGCAAGUACUUUCAUCAUAAAUGAGUUUUCUGCCAUCUUAUACACCUUUGUGGAGGAAACCAAUCAGUUACUUUCAGAAUCCUCUGGUCUUGUUUUAAGUGAUUUUCUAUUUGUCUUCAAUUUGCCAUUCAAACUUAUGUUAAUGCAAUGGGACUUACAUGCAAAACCAAGGUGUGACACCAUGGCACCUCAAGGAAGCAUGAGACCAGAACUCUUAACACUGAGAGUCAGACGAAGUCACCUGGUUGAAGACGCCUUGCGUCAGUUAGGACAAGCUGACAACUCUGACCUUAGGAAACCACUAACGGUUGAAUUUAUUAACGAAGUCAGUGCUAAGAGUGCAGGGGUGAGUUCAGAGUUCUUCCACUACAUAUUUGAAGAGAUGACAGACCCCAAAUAUGGAAUGUUUGUAUAUCCCGAAAAGAGCUCCCGCAUGUGGUUUCCGGUCAAUCCUAAGUUUGAGAAGAAGAGAUAUUUCCUCUUUGGGAUCUUGUGUGGACUCUCCCUAUCCAACUUAAAGGUUGUCAAACUUCCUUUCCCCCUGGCUUUGUAUAAAAAACUUCUGAAAAAAAAGACAACUUUGGAAGAUUUAAAAGAACUCAGUUUUCCCUUGGGGAAGAAUUUGCAAGAAGUUCUCAAUUGUGAGGCUGGUGAUGUCGAAGAACUUGACAUGUAUUUUUCCAUAUACUGGGAUCAAAAAGAUGUUGACUUAAUUCCAAAUGGGAUCUCUGUACCUGUGGACCAAACCAACAGGCAAAUGUACGUUUCUAAGUGUGUUGAUUACAUUUUUAAUACUUCUGUAAAAACCAUUUAUGAGGAAUUUCAUAGAUGAUUUUACACAGUGUGUAACCAGGAUAUAAUUAGACAGUUCCAUCCUGAAGAACUAAUGAAAGCAAUAAUUGGAAAUGCUGAUUGUGACUGGGAACAAUUUGAAAAUAAUUCACUCUAUGAAGAAGAAUAUCACAAAGCACACCCAACUAUUCGACUCUUUUGGAAGGCUUUCCACGAAUUAACUUCGGAUGAAAAGAAAAAAUUCCUCUUGUUUCUUACAGGAUGCGAUAGGUUUCACAUAGACGGCCUACACUCUGAUAGAAUAAUAUUUCGUUGUCCUCAAACUUUCAGUGAAGAGGAUAACCCAAGAUCUUUGACAUGUCACAAUAUUCUAGACUUGCCUAAAUAUUCUACAAUGGAAAGGAUGAAGGAAGCACUUCAAGUGAUAAUCAACAAUAACAAGGGUUUUGCCUCAUGGACCUGAUGCUGAAAUAAUCCACUCUGAGCAUUCUCAUCACCAGCCUUAGGAAUUAGGUCUUUGAUUUCUGGGCUCUCCUGUCUUUCCUUAAUCUAAUUGGUACAAAAGAUUAAAGGAUUUUACUUAUAAUUAGUUGGACAGUUUUUUGAGAUAAAGAAGUUAUAAAUUAAUACUUUUAGUGAAAUAAAAUUCUGUAAAACUUUUGGUGUAUUCCUAACCUUGCUAUUAGAAUGCUUGUUUAGAAUGAAAUAUUUUCUGAACAACAAUUAUUAUUUAAUAAUAUGCUAAAUAUUUAGAAUAUUCAAUAUUGGGGCUAGAGAUUGAACUCAGUGAUUAAGGCGCUGGCAGCUCUUACAGAGGACCAGGGUUCAAAUCCCAGCACCUACAUGACUGGUCACAUCCCACCAGUAACUCCAGUCCUAGCAGAUCUAAUACCCUCUUCUGGCCUCCAGGGCACUGUCUAGAUGUGGCACAAAGACUUACGUACAGACAAAAAAUUCAUACGUGUAAAUUAAAAAUAAAAAAUAAUAUUUAUUUAAAAUGUUGUUGUACCAAUAGUAAACUAUUGAUUUGAAAGAAUAUGUAACUCUGAAUAUUUAGCAAAAGUAUACACUGCUUUCAGCAUGGUUUUGAGAUAUAUAGAUGUAUAUUUUGUAUUAAGGAAUAUAUUUUGAGUUUUUGAACUUAGUAAUUGCUAAAUAAUUUAUUUUCAAAUCUAAGUGUUGAGGUUUAUGCUUCUUUGAACAUAUUUAUACUUAUACUCAUUACAGCAUUCCUGAAGUCAUUUUAAAUGUGGGUACUGUUAUUCUGGUAAAAUACUAAGCUCAAUCAGAAACUCAUAUCUGUAUGUCAUUAGAAAAAUGUGAAGAAGCUGAAAUAUGUCUUUUGAUGAUGUUAUAAAAUAAAUAAAGCAAUGUAACUACUAUGGGAAGUGGCCAGCACAUCUUGCAUACUGGUUUUACUCAAUGUUAAAAUGGAAAGUGCAUUACACAGCUUUGAAAUAAU